rnacentral:rRNA from 1 species
GAUGAACGCUAGCUACAGGCUUAACACAUGCAAGUCGAGGGGAAACGGCAUCGAAAGCUUGCUUUUGAUGGGCGUCGACCGGCGCACGGGUGAGUAACGCGUAUCCAACCUGCCCAUCACUUGGGAAUAACCUUGCGAAAGUAAGACUAAUGCCCAAUGACAUCCCACGAAGGCAUCCGAAUGGGAUUAAAGAUUUAUCGGUGAUGGAUGGGGAUGCGUCUGAUUAGCUUGUUGGCGGGGUGACGGCCCACCAAGGCAACGAUCAGUAGGGGUUCUGAGAGGAAGGUCCCCCACAUUGGAACUGAGACACGGUCCAAACUCCUACGGGAGGCAGCAGUGAGGAAUAUUGGUCAAUGGGCGAGAGCCUGAACCAGCCAAGUAGCGUGCAGGAGGACGGCCCUAUGGGUUGUAAACUGCUUUUAUAAGGGAAUAAAGUGGGUCACGUGUGACUUUUUGCAUGUACCUUAUGAAUAAGGACCGGCUAAUUCCGUG